UACCAGCACCCCGAGUGGUCGGGACGUUUUAUUGGGCCUAAAGCAUCCGUAGCCGGUUCUACAAGUCUUCCGUUAAAUCCACCUGCUUAACAGAUGGGCUGCGGAAGAUACUAUGGAGCUAGGAGGCGGGAGAGGCAAGCGGUACUCGAUGGGUAGGGGUAAAAUCCGUUGAUCCAUUGAAGACCACCGUGGCGAAGGCGGCUUGCCAGAACGCGCUCGACGGUGAGGGAUGAAAGCUGGGGGGAGCAAACCGG
rnacentral:rRNA from 1 species